CCUACGGGAGGCAGCAGUGGGGAAUUUUGGACAAUGGGCGCAAGCCUGAUCCAGCCAUGCCGCGUGCGGGAAGAAGGCCUUCGGGUUGUAAACCGCUUUUGUCAGGGAAGAAAAGGUUCUGGCUAAUACCUGGGACUCAUGACGGUACCUGAAGAAUAAGCACCGGCUAACUACGUGCCAGCAGCCGCGGUAAUACGUAGGGUGCAAGCGUUAAUCGGAAUUACUGGGCGUAAAGCGUGCGCAGGCGGUUAUGCAAGACAGAGGUGAAAUCCCCGGGCUCAACCUGGGAACUGCCUUUGUGACUGCAUAGCUAGAGUACGGUAGAGGGGGAUGGAAUUCCGCGUGUAGCAGUGAAAUGCGUAGAUAUGCGGAGGAACACCGAUGGCGAAGGCAAUCCCCUGGACCUGUACUGACGCUCAUGCACGAAAGCGUGGGGAGCAAACAGGAUUAGAUACCCUGGUAGUCCACGCCCUAAACGAUGUCAACUGGUUGUUGGGAGGGUUUCUUCUCAGUAACGUAGCUAACGCGUGAAGUUGACCGCCUGGGGGAGGUACGGCCGCGAGGUAGAACGUACGAAGAAGUAGUAGACGUGAGAGAGCGACGACGACGACGAGGAGGAGGAGG
rnacentral:rRNA from 1 species